rnacentral:rRNA from 1 species
AUAUCAAUAAGCGGAGGAAAAGAAACCAACAGGGAUUGCCUCAGUAACGGCGAGUGAAGCGGCAACAGCUCAAAUUUGAAAUCUGGCCUUCUGGUCCGAAUUGUAAUUUGUAGAGGAUGCUUCGAACGUGGUCCGGUCUAAGUUCCUUGGAACAGGACGUCAUAGAGGGUGAGAAUCCCGUAUGUGACUGGGUGCCUAAGUUCAUGUGAAGCUCCUUCAACGAGUCGAGUUGUUUGGGAAUGCAGCUCAAAAUGGGUGGUAAAUUUCAUCUAAAGCUAAAUAUUGGCCAGAGACCGAUAGCGCACAAGUAGAGUGAUCGAAAGAUGAAAAGCACUUUGGAAAGAGAGUUAAAUAGUAC